rnacentral:ribozyme from 16 species
UACAAAAACGUCUAAUCCUUGUAAAUAAGUUGGUUUUCCACUAUUUUUUUCAUUCAUAGUUUGCAUACUGCUAUAUUCUGA